rnacentral:rRNA from 1 species
GCUUGUCUCAAAGAUUAAGCCAUGCAUGUCUCAGUAUAAGCUUUUACACGGCGAAACUGCGAAUGGCUCAUUAAAACAGUUAUCGUUUCUUUGGUGGUUAUUGAUUACAUGGAUAACCGUGGUAAUUCUAGAGCUAAUACAUGCUGUAAAGCCCGACUUUUCGGAAGGGCCGUAUUUAUUAGAUAACAGACCAAUAUUCCUCGUGUCUAUUGUGGUGAAUCAUAGUAACUAAUCGGAUCGCAUGGGCUAGUCCCGCGACAAACCAUUCAAGUUUCUGCCCCAUCAGCUUUCGAUGGUAGUGUAUUGGACUACCAUGGCUUUUACGGGUAACGGAGGAUUAGGGUUCGAUUCCGGAGAGGGAGCCUGAGAAACGGCUACCACAUCUAAGGAAGGCAGCAGG